rnacentral:rRNA from 1 species
GCCUGGCCCUAAAUCUUGAUGCUUCGUUACCUAAGCAUCCGCCCGGGAACUACGAGCACAAACGCUUAAAACCCUAAGGACUUGGCGGUGUCCCAAACCCACCUAGAGGAGCCUGUGUGUUCGCAUGAUCCACGAUAUUCCGCACCACUUCUUGCUAACAGCCUAGAUACCGCCGUCGCCAGCYCACCUUCACUGAGAGACCAUYAGUGGRCGCAAUAGCCCAACCACGCUAAUAGGACAGGCAGGGUAUGCCUAUGGAGUGGAAGCAGUGGGCUACAUUUUCUAA